rnacentral:rRNA from 1 species
CGAGUGAACAGGGAAGAGCUCAAAUUUGUAAUCUGGCGUCCUUUGGGCGUCCGAGUUGUAAUCUAUAGAAGCGUUUUCCGUGCUGGACCAUGUCCAAGUCCCUUGGAACAGGGUAUCAAAGAGGGUGAUAAUCCCGUACUUGACAUGACAACCAGUGCUCUGUGAUACGUUCUCUACGAGUCGAGUUGUUUGGGAAUGCAGCUCAAAAUGGGUGGUGAGUUCCAUCUAAAGCUAAAUAUUGGCGAGAGACCGAUAGCGAACAAGUACCGUGAGGGAAAGAUGAAAAGCACUUUGGAAAGAGAGUUAAACAGUACGUGAAAUUGUUGAAAGGGAAACGAUUGAAGUCAGUCGUGUCCAAGGGGUUCAGCCGGUUAUGCCGGUGUAUUCCCCUUGGACGGGUCAACAUCAGUUUGGACCGGUGGAAAAGGGUAGUUGGAAGGUAGCAGCUGCGGCUGUGUUAUAGACUUCUGCCGCACACACUGGUCUAGACUGAGGCAUGCAGCUCGCCCUUGUGGCCGGGGUUUACCCACGUACGAGCUUAGG